CGCGUAGGUGGUAGUGUAAGUCUGAGGUGGAAUCCCAGGGCUUAACCCUGGAACUGCCUUGGAAACUGCAUUACUUGAGUCAGUGAGGGGAGGGUAGAAUUCCUGGUGUAGCGGUGAAAUGCGUAGAUAUCAGGAGGAAGGCCUGUGGCGAAGGCGGCCCUCUGGUGCUGGACUGACACUGAGGCGCGAAAGCGUGGGGAGCAAACAGGAUUAGAUACCCUGGUAGUCCACACCCUAAACGGUGGGCACUAGGUGUAGGGCUCGUAAGGGUUCUGUGCCGAAGGGAAACCAUUAAGUGCCCCGCCUGGGGAGUACGGCCGCAAGGUUGAA
rnacentral:rRNA from 1 species